rnacentral:rRNA from 1 species
AGUGAACGCUGGCGGUAGGCCUAACACAUGCAAGUCGAACGGCAGCACAGUAAGAGCUUGCUCUUACGGGUGGCGAGUGGCGGACGGGUGAGGAAUACAUCGGAAUCUACUUUUUCGUGGGGGAUAACGUAGGGAAACUUACGCUAAUACCGCAUACGACCUACGGGUGAAAGCAGGGGAUCUUCGGACCUUGCGCGAUUGAAUGAGCCGAUGUCGGAUUAGCUAGUUGGCGGGGUAAAGGCCCACCAAGGCGACGAUCCGUAGCUGGUCUGAGAGGAUGACCAGCCACACUGGAACUGAGACACGGUACAGACUCCUACGGGAGGCAGCAGUGGGGAAUAUUGGACAAUGGGCGCAAGCCUGAUCCAGCCAUACCGCGUGGGUGAAGAAGGCCUUCGGGUUGGAAAGCCCUUUUGUUGGGAAAGAAAAGCAGCAGGUUAAUACCCCGCUGUUCUGACGGUACCCAAAGAAUAAGCACCGGCUAACUUCGUG